rnacentral:rRNA from 2 species
CGCUGGCGGCGUGCCUAAUACAUGCAAGUCGAACGAACUCUGGUAUUGAUUGGUGCUUGCAUCAUGAUUUACAUUUGAGUGAGUGGCGAACUGGUGAGUAACACGUGGGAAACCUGCCCAGAAGCGGGGGAUAACACCUGGAAACAGAUGCUAAUACCGCAUAACAACUUGGACCGCAUGGUCCGAGCUUGAAAGAUGGCUUCGGCUAUCACUUUUGGAUGGUCCCGCGGCGUAUUAGCUAGAUGGUGGGGUAACGGCUCACCAUGGCAAUGAUACGUAGCCGACCUGAGAGGGUAAUCGGCCACAUUGGGACUGAGACACGGCCCAAACUCCUACGGGAGGCAGCAGUAGGGAAUCUUCCACAAUGGACGAAAGUCUGAUGGAGCAACGCCGCGUGAGUGAAGAAGGGUUUCGGCUCGUAAAACUCUGUUGUUAAAGAAGAACAUAUCUGAGAGUAACUGUUCAGGUAUUGACGGUAUUUAACCAGAAAGCCACGGCUAACUACGUGCCAGCAGCCGCGGUAAUACGUAGGUGGCAAGCGUUGUCCGGAUUUAUUGGGCGUAAAGCGAGCGCAGGCGGUUUUUUAAGUCUGAUGUGAAAGCCUUCGGCUCAACCGAAGAAGUGCAUCGGAAACUGGGAAACUUGAGUGCAGAAGAGGACAGUGGAACUCCAUGUGUAGCGGUGAAAUGCGUAGAUAUAUGGAAGAACACCAGUGGCGAAGGCGGCUGUCUGGUCUGUAACUGACGCUGAGGCUCGAAAGUAUGGGUAGCAAACAGGAUUAGAUACCCUGGUAGUCCAUACCGUAAACGAUGAAUGCUAAGUGUUGGAGGGUUUCCGCCCUUCAGUGCUGCAGCUAACGCAUUAAGCAUUCCGCCUGGGGAGUACGGCCGCAAGGCUGAAACUCAAAGGAAUUGACGGGGGCCCGCACAAGCGGUGGAGCAUGUGGUUUAAUUCGAAGCUACGCGAAGAACCUUACCAGGUCUUGACAUACUAUGCAAAUCUAAGAGAUUAGACGUUCCCUUCGGGGACAUGGAUACAGGUGGUGCAUGGUUGUCGUCAGCUCGUGUCGUGAGAUGUUGGGUUAAGUCCCGCAACGAGCGCAACCCUUAUUAUCAGUUGCCAGCAUUAAGUUGGGCACUCUGGUGAGACUGCCGGUGACAAACCGGAGGAAGGUGGGGAUGACGUCAAAUCAUCAUGCCCCUUAUGACCUGGGCUACACACGUGCUACAAUGGAUGGUACAACGAGUUGCGAACUCGCGAGAGUAAGCUAAUCUCUUAAAGCCAUUCUCAGUUCGGAUUGUAGGCUGCAACUCGCCUACAUGAAGUCGGAAUCGCUAGUAAUCGCGGAUCAGCAUGCCGCGGUGAAUACGUUCCCGGGCCUUGUACACACCGCCCGUCACACCAUGAGAGUUUGUAACACCCAAAGUCGGUGGGGUAACCUUUUAGGAACCAGCCGCCUAAGGUGGGACAGAUGAUUAGGGUGA